AAAAUGCAACAAAAUGAAAUACCUCGAUGCCUCGCUCAAGCCAACGCGUAGAGAUGGCAGCGGUAUGUUGACUCCGGUAACGGGAACUCUCGAUCGUCGGCACCGGAGAACCUCUUCCGUGACAACCGUAAGAUAUCACGUCGUCUAGAUCCGUUAACCUCGAAUCCACGUCCAACAUUCGAUACGGCGACUUCCGCUAAGACGUUCUGAUCUCCUCCUCCGAUCGUGGAAUUACGAUUCUGAUUCGUCUUCUCUUCUUGACUUCAAUCCGUGUUUCUUCUGCUUGAAACAGUGUUGUGGCGGCGUCGAUUCCAGACACGCUAGAUUCCGUCACCGGCGGCAGCGAUCCAUUCCAACAACUAUCUAUAUCCGCGCUCCUCAACUAACCUGAAACAAAAAUAAUCGGCCAAAUUGGAGCAACCGCGAGCGGUAAAAGCAAGAUCGGAGGUUUCGUCGGCGGCUUCACUUUGAAAUUCCGGUAAUGAAUGUUGCAAGCUUGAAUCGCCUUUCUCCUCCUUCUUCUUAUAAUACAAUCCUCUGCGGCGAGGUAUUGUUUGCUAUCGAAAAUGGCGGAUGAACCGUCAGAAGGUUGAGGAGGAUUGAAGCGGUGGUUAACCGUUUUGCGAGUUUGUUACGGUGAGGGUUUCGGUUGUGUAAGAUUGGAAGAGAGGUGAAUUAAAGUGGUGAAGGUUGGUGAUGAAUUGAGGUUGAAGGUGGAGGAAGGUUCUGUGAAUGGAGGUUGAAGAAUCCGGCAGUUUGUGAUGAAGCUUGCUUUUAUAGAGUGAUGAGUGUGAUAUUAGAAGCAAUUCGGAAGAAAAUUCUGUUAUGAAUUUGUUAUUAUUCUGUGAAAUUAUGCAGGUGUGGAAUUGGCUUUUGCUGGCUCGCGUUUAGCUUGUUGUUGUACCGGCUUAUGGAAGUCUUGGCUACGCAUCGUGUGGUUUAGUGUUUUGCUUUGCGGUUUACCGGCUUGGAAGCUUUAGCUGCGUUUCAAUGUGAAUUUGCAAGUUAUUUUGGAUGGGCGUGUUGCCGGCUUUUAUGCAGAAUUUUUGGUUUGAUUGUAGUGCAGAAUUUUUGUUGAAUUGUAGUGCAGAAUUUUGUUUUUAUUAUGCACUGUUUUGGUAGCCGCGUGAGGCUUUGUGGCUUAUGGCUUGUGAUGGUUUUGGAGUUGUUGUACAGUGUUUGGAGCUGGCUUUGCAGCAUUUUNAAUAAUCUAAACCAACUAGCUAUAAAACAAGGUAUAUGAGUUUUAAAGGUGCAGAAUGGGCCUCGGGAACAUUUGGCCCAAACCACAGGGAGGGUGCAAGCUGGAAAAACGGGGUGUGUUUGUGCAAGCAGCACGCCUGAGAUGAUAGGGCCUUCUUUAAGGCCCAUCCGAGAUGCACAAAGCUGUGAGGACGCUACUUCGUCUUUGCCAAAAAACAUGAACAAAAUGCAACAAAAUGAAAUACCUCGAUGCCUCGCUCAAGCCAACGCGUAGAGAUGGCAGCGGUAUGUUGACUCCGGUAACGGGAACUCUCGAUCGUCGGCACCGGAGAACCUCUUCCGUGACAACCGUAAGAUAUCACGUCGUCUAGAUCCGUUAACCUCGAAUCCACGUCUAACAUUCGAUACGGCGACUUCCGCUAAGACGUUCUGAUCUCCUCCUCCGAUCGUGGAAUUACGAUUCUGAUUCGUCUUCUCUUCUUGACUUCAAUCCGUGUUUCUUCUGCUUGAAACAGUGUUGUGGCGGCGUCGAUUCCAGACACGCUAGAUUCCGUCACCGGCGGCAGCGAUCCAUUCCAACAACUAUCUAUAUCCGCGCUCCUUAACUAACCUGAAACAAAAAUAAUCGGCCAAAUUGGAGCAACCGCGAGCGGUAGAAGCAAUAUCGGAGGUUUCGUCGGCGGCUUCACUUUGAAAUUCCGGUAAUGAAUGUUGCAAGCUUUAAUCGCCUUUCUCCUCCUUCUUCUUAUAAUACAAUCCUCUGCGGCGAGGUAUUGUUUGCUAUCGAAAAUGGCGGAUGAACCGUCAGAAGGUUGAGGAGGAUUGAAGCGGUGGUUAACCGUUUUGCGAGUUUGUUACGGUGAUGGUUUCGGUUGUGUAAGAUUGGAAGAGAGGUGAAUUAAAGUGGUGAAGGUUGGUGAUGAAUUGAGGUUGAAGGUGGAGGAAGGUUCUGUGAAUGGAGGUUGAAGAAUCCGGCAGUUUGUGAUGAAGCUUGCUUUUAUAGAAUGAUGAGUGUGAUAUUAGAAGCAAUUCGGAAGAAAAUUCUGUUAUGAAUUUGUUAUUAUUCUGUGAAAUUAUGCAGGUGUGGAAUUGGCUUUUGCUGGCUCGCGUUUAGCUUGUUGUUGUACCGGCUUAUGGAAGUCUUGGCUACGCAUCGUGUGGUUUAGUGUUUUGCUUUGCGGUUUACCGGCUUGGAAGCUUUAGCUGCGUUUCAAUGUGAAUUUGCAAGUUAUUUUGGAUGGGCGUGUUGCCGGCUUUUAUGCAGAAUUUUUGGUUUGAUUGUAGUGCAGAAUUUUUGUUGAAUUGUAGUGCAGAAUUUUGUUUUUAUUAUGCACUGUUUUGGUAGCCGCGUGAGGCUUUGUGGCUUAUGGCUUGUGAUGGUUUUGGAGUUGUUGUACAGUGUUUGGAGCUGGCUUUGCAGCAUUUUCAUGUAAAUGUGAACAAGAGAUGUAAUAUGUAUUUAAUUGGAUUGUGAAAUUAGAGUUUGGAUAACUGAUUUAAAUGGUUAUAAUAAAUGGAUUAACUUGGGUUAUGAACAAAAAUGGAUCAUGGACUAAAUGGAUAAUGAUUUUAUGGAUAUUGUAAAAUGGAUGUAAAAAAAUGGAUUUAACGAAUGGAUAUGGA
rnacentral:lncRNA from 1 species